GAUGAACGCUGGCGGCGUGCCUAACACAUGCAAGCCGAGCGGACGGGCGCGCAGCUUGCUGGGCUUGUUUUAGCGGCGAACGGGUGAGUAACACGUGGAUAACCUACCUAUAACACUGGGAUAAGCUCGGGAAACCGGAUCUAAUACCGGAUAAUAUUUUGAACCGCUUUCUUCAGAAGUGAAGGACGGUCUUGCUGUCACUUAUAGAUGGAUGCGCGCUGCAUUAGCUAGUUGGUAAGUUGCCGGCUUACCAGUGCAACGAUGUAUAGCCGUCCUGAGAGGGUGAGCGGCCACAGCGACACUGAGACACGGUCCAGACCCAGACUGGUGGGAGCAGCAGGGAAUCUGCCGCAAUGGGCGAGAGCCUGACGCAGCAACGCCGCGUGAGUGAUGAAGGUCUUCGGAUCGUAAAUCUCUGCUAUUAGGGUAGGACAUAUGUGUAAGUAACUGUGCACAUCUUGACGUUACCUUGUCAGAAAGCACCGGCUAACUACGUG
rnacentral:rRNA from 1 species